CAACGAUCUUCAUUCCUGCGGCCCUGUGGACGAAGUAGUUGUAUUGCCUGGUAUCGACGAACUAGUCAGUACCGAGCCGUCCACUGUUUCGGGCCGACCUACUACUGUUGUAAAAGUGGAUGAUAAAAUGACUCUGGAAACUCCGUAGGUUAGUUAGUUGUAUCCAUUACUUCUUCCUGCUUUAAAUAUAGAAAGAAAUUUCCUGAAUGUAGUGUGUUUGAAUUUUUUGCAGCUAGAAUAACUGCUGGUGUCCUUCCACGUGGACUUCACAUGCUGAAUCUGGCGAAGAACAAUAUAUCUACGAUCGAGGGUUUGCGGGAACUCACUCGACUACGUGUUCUGGACUUGAGCUACAACCGAAUAUUUAGAAUCGGACAUGGUAAGUACGACACUAACUCCUUUUAACUUGCAUAGCUGUUAACCAUACUUAUAUUCGAACUCUGUGUUUCAAAAAGGUCUUGGUUCUUGCUCAUCCUUAAAAGAGCUAUACUUGGCGGGGAACAAGAUAAGCGAGGUCGAAGGUCUGCAUCGUCUGCUGAAACUCACAGUCCUCGAUCUGCGAUUCAACAAGCUCUCGACGACCAAAUGUCUCGGCCAGCUUGCAGCCAACUACAGCUCCCUACAAGCCAUCAGCCUGGAAGGGAAUCCGGCUCAGAAAAACGUCGGAGACGAACAGCUCAAGAAGCACUUGCAGGGACUUCUGCCCCAUCUGGUUUACUUCAACAGGCAGGCAACCAAAGCCGGCACUUUAAAGGACGCAGCUGACCGGUCGGUCAGGCUGGGGAUAAGUUCAAACAAAUCGGUUAGGAAAGCCGGCCAUGGGGUAACUGCAUCAAGGGCGUUAUCAUCAUCCACGCACGGUGGUCGUGCGAGUACAUCUUCUCCGAAACGGUCGAAGGGGAGGCAUGUUAAGCUCCCGCCGAGUGGAACUGGCAGACCGAGCGGCCAUGCUCGCCCGCCAGUGCAAGGUUUGGAUCUCGGCGGGAGGGUUGUGGAUUUCAGAGCCGAGCUGGCUAUGACGAGGAGUAAGAGUGAAGGGAAUAUGGGACCUCAGUGAAUCUGAAGUUAUGAAGAGGGGAAAAGAACUUUGUUUUGAUGUUCCAGUUUGUGAGGUUUUAUGCUUUGAGAGGUGAUUGUGUUGUAAUCAUUAAUAACGCCAUGAAGAGUGGUGAAUUUGGAACUUGGGGAUGUUGUUUCCUUUCUGUGUUGUGGGAUUUGCUUUGUAUUGCUAAAUAAAAACUGUACUUUCUUCCUCAGAGAUUCCUAUUCGACUCUAAAUGAGUCGAGUUUGAUCAGAGUAUGUUUGGCUUGAGCGGCUCGGAGCCAUUUAUAAUACUUGCCCUCAUCAGUGGGCUCAAUAAAUUCAUUAUGUGUUUUUCCUCAAGUAUCUUAGACUAAACCAUAUAUAAUUUGCAAUUUUAUUAAUGAAAAUGCUAAUAAUACCUGAUCUAGGUUUUAAAAGUAAAAGCUUGUUUUCGAGUUCUGAUUUUGAAUUAGUAUUUGCUUGACUCUAUAGGUUCAGGAGCUGACUUGAGUCUUAGCACGAGAUCCAAUUAAAAUACUUGCUUAACCAUAUAUAAUAAUUAGUAGGUUCAAUAAUGUGAUUUUGCUCACUAAUUAAAAGGGUAGAAACUUGUUUUUUAUAAGAUAAACUUGUUAUUGAACUUCGAUGUCUUUUUACUUUUACUGUACACCGGCUUCAAAGAUAAUUAGCCAGCAAGCUGAAGUUGCCUUUAGCUCGACACGAGCUUUAAUUUUCCAACUCGAACUCACCUCACGAGCUUAAGUAUUUUGUAAGAAAUUGCAUAAAAAUGGAGACUUUGACUGGAAAAUAAACAGUAAGACAGGCAAAGUUGUUAACAUUCACAUGACCACUUGUUCAGGUCAUUACAAAGGAAAACCCAACAGUGUCGAUAUAUACAAAGGGAAAAGGUAACUCUCUCUCACACACAACAAAGACAACAAUGGCCGUCAGCGCUUCUAUUGCUUCAAUUGAUGGCUGCAGAAAGAUUGCAGCUUUUACAGUCCAUGGAUGAUGCAGAUAGAUCACUGAAACAAAAGGACACAGCCAAAACAAACUGCUGGAAGUUAGAUUGGAUUGCGUGUAAGCUAUAGUGAAACUAACCAGUGAAUCAAAUUAUAUUCACCUGAUCAAGCUUGGAAAUCAUAUGCAUGGUAUCCGCAGUUCCUUAAGCUUCUGCAAGAACACAAACAGAGUUAACAUUGAUGCAGGAAGUGAGUUACAUAUCACAGGAAUAACAAUUAAAAUUAAAGCAGAGAAAUUUCAUGAUCAGAUAAGAAUUCCAACGUCAAGACAUCUUGUUGCUCUCGUAGAAUGACUAGACUUGUCCUUUAACCAAGACCCAAUUCUCAUUUCACACUAUAUGAGCUACAAGACAAUCUCUUUUUAAGUAAAUUGACAUAUACCAUGGAAGCAAAUUACAGAGAAGUAGAAUUCCCAGGAUAAGAUAGCCUGUGAUAAGCUAGGAAGCAAACUUAAAACCACUUCUAUCAACUUGCAAAUAACCAUAGAUGUGCAAAUUCAAACAUACUUAUCAAUGAUUCUCUGUUCACCAGAUAAAAAAGCAAAGUCCAAACAGUUCAGCAAAAUGCAGUGAUUCAAACAAAGUUCAAUUUAUCUUCAUUUCCAAUUUCCAAAUAACCAUACUGAUCAAUGAUUCUAUGUUCAAACAGUUGAGCAAAUGCAUUGAUUCAAACCUUUCUCUUCCUGUUCCACCUCUGGCACUGGAAGAAGCUCAGCAGCAGAAGCAGAAGCUCCUAUCUUCAAAUCUUCACUUUCUCCAUCCUUAUCAUCCGGAUACCUUACAACAACCACAGGACAAAUACAGUGAUGAACACAGUAAUCACUAACACUCCCUAACCUCCCUUUACCGCUCCUCCUCGCAGCUCCAAAUCCUCUGCUCCCCAUAAUCACAGCGCUCAACCCUAGCCUCUCAACUUCCAAACACAGCCUCUCCUUCAUAUCAUGAUCCUUCACUAUGUGGAUCUUGAACGGAAACCCGGCGUCAACCAGCGGCUGCGCCAGGGCGCUCGCCUUGGUGGUGGUGAAGUUGUCGAAGUCGUCCUCGAGCUUCUUCUGGUCCGCUAUGUCGUCUCCGUCGUCGACCGUGUUGUUGAUCUGGACUUUGAUCGAUCCCCAAUCGGCUCCGUACAGGACGGAUGUCGGGCGGACGUGGAGGAGUAUGACGGCGUCCCCCGGGCGGAGGUAGUUCUGGACCGCCCAGUUUACUGCGUACGCACUCUCGUCGCUUAGAUCGACGGCGAUCGCGAUGCGGCGCUUUGCUCCGGCGGUUGGAGUGGCGGCAGCUGCUUGAGAGGAGGAGAAGCUUCCGCUGCGAGGGGAGGCGGUGGGGCGGGUGCGGAGGGAUGGGAGGGACGGGAUUGGGAGGUCCGAUUCCGGUUGCUUCUGCGGCGAUGCCAUUGCGGCGGCGGCCGGCGGUGAAGAAAGGGUUUUGUUGAGUGAGAAUCGGUUUUGAAUUUCAGGUGACGGACACUCUAGAAAUGAAGGAGGAGAAAUACACUGGGAGGAAAUAGCGUUGUGGAACAUAUAAAUGCUGUCGUCUGUAGCAGAUUCAGUGGGCCCGAAGAUAAAAGCCCAACUCUUCCAGUGAUUACAGUUGAACUGGGCCACCUGAUAGGACUCUUAGGUGGGCUCAGUCAGUGGUUUGUAUGUAUUUUCGAAGUUCAUUUGGUUGAGGUGGCGAUAGACGCUACAGAAUUGGAUCAUAUUACUGUCGGUAGCUCUAACUAAAGUCGACUCUCGAUCAUGUUAUUGUUGGUAGGUCUAGUUAAAGUCGACUCUUUAUAUCGAAAUAUUCGAUCAUAUCUCUCGAUCUAGACACACCAGACAUAUCAUGACGAAGGUAACCUCAAUUUAUAGAAGACAAGACUUAUAUCCAUAGUUACAUUUUAUUACAAGUGGCAGCUGGAUAACAACAUGAUUAGUUUGUACAAUUAAUCCUUGUAAUAAUUCAUCAAUUACUGUCAAUUUGUUUGUCUUUCUUUCUGUAAUAUUGAUUGAUGGCUAGACAAGACAGUUGCACCGUUAGCCAUGGCAAAUCGGUUGGUGCACAAGCAUAAUCCGUGUGGUACACGGCUUCUGUCUUUCGUGUUUUCCUACACUAGAGCUUCAAAUCGAGAUAUAAAUCUUAAAAAAUCGAUCUACAUUAUGUUUUACGUGAAAAUCAAAAUAAAAAGUCGAAUCUUAAAAUAGCAUAAAACAAAUUUGAAUCGAGUUUAAGCGAUGUAAGUACAUUUUUCGAGACACCCAUCACCCCCCAUUGUUUAUCUGAAUAAGAUAUUCCAUUCAUCGUACUAUAAUCUUCACAUUUUCCAAUUGAUGUUGCCGAUAUCGACUAUAAAAAAGUAAGAGAAGAAGAAAAGAAGAUAAUUUAUGAGGAAGGAACUUAUGCAUAUAAGUGAGGCAUGUUAGGUAGGUGGUAUGUAAUCAACCACUCUUUCAUUUUGUAAUAGCUCACAUUAGAGCUAAGAUGCCACAUGUCAUGUCUUGGUUGGCUAAAUUUAUGAAAAAUUUACGACAGAGCUACUCUCGCCUAUGUGCCCUUGGGCCCAUGGGAUUCGAUUGGCCAGUUGCGGACUCAAAGUCGUCGAUUGGUUUGUCGAAAGUCUAGGCGGGUAGGCACAGUAAGUGACAAGCCAACUAUCAGGUGGUUUGUUUCUCAUGCAAUGUUUAGUCCCAACUUGGCCACAGCUGUUACAUUCAAGUGAAGUGGAAAAUUUGACAUUUUUAUCGGAUUAGAAAGUGACCUUAGAUGCUUCAUGAGAUUUAACAAAGAUUCUCAAAUCAACCAACCCAUGUUUGGUUAGUUUUGUUUCAUUUGGAGAAUAAAUUAAUAAUGAUCAAAUUGGUCUUUUUUUAAUUCAUUUUUACCAACCAUAACAUCAUGUGCUAUUACAAAAAGAAAAUGACUGAAUUUCAACCAUAGCCAACCACUCUCUUUUUCCAUUAUAGUCAACCAUUUCCUUGAUAUUUGUUUAAUUAUGUGACCAAAAUAAAACACCUCGAACAAACUCUACAUGCGAUAUUUGAAUUGUUAUUCCAAUAAUUUUUUUAUGAUAUCAAAAUUUAUUCACAUUUUAUUAAUUUAUGAUAAAAUUAUGCUUUUGUAUAAAUAUUUUGACUUAUUAAUAUUAACACAAACAGAUAAUAAUGUUCAACGUGCCAAAAAGAAUAUUAUUGACAUGAGAAAAUAAAUCUUCCUCACGAGCAAUUCGAUAAUUUUUUACAUAACUAACGUUACAAUCGCACCGUCACCAACUUCCAAAUACUAACAUGUUGUCCGUUUUUUUAGCCACACUAACAUCGAUUUAUUUUUUGGUUCUUUCCCAUAAUGUGUUAUACAAAUAUAGUUAAGACAUAGUACACAAUUAUAAGUUAAACAAAUUUGGUCUAAUCAACGGUUAUUCCAACACGGUCUAGUCUUCCUCUCCAUGCUGUUGAAUUCAGCCGAUAUAGCAAACGUGUGAUUAUUUUCCGUCUAGAAGUCAAUAAAUGUGUACGAGGAUGGAAGAUUAACGGCGGCGGUGACAACCGUCGACGGAGCUUUUGUCGAUCAUAUCAUAUUAUCAAUAGGCUGUGGAGUAGUAGCUGUAAAGGGUACCAAGUUGUCUUCCAGGCAAAUGGGCAUAGAGACCUUCAAUUAUUUCACAACUUGUUCGGAUUCAUAAUCGGCGGCGGCGCGUGGUUUUCGUCCAAGAAAAUAAUAAUAAUGACGUGCAUGGGACAAAACACUAAUACUAAUAAUACUUAUCCUAAACCAGGUGGUAUUGCUCUAACCGCCCACUGUUUUAGUUUCCACCGUCGCCGCGGCUGUCAGAUAAGUUUCAACGGAGCAGCGUAUAUUUACAUUUGACGGCCGUGUUUUCAAUUUUCCGUCCGGCGGCUUCUAUGAUUUUGAUGACGAUGACCAAUUUUACAUUUCAAUAUCGAGCAUUUGAUUGGCCAAGGUUGAAACUAGUCAACUAGCUAGAUACAUCUAUCUCACACUAAUUCUGACGGUGAAAAUUAAAUUUGACAUCUUACCGUAUUAGAAAGUGACAUAAGAAAGGUUAAUAGUUUAAUAUGAAUCAUGAGAUUUAGCUAGGAUUCUAAAAGUCAACCCCAAUAUCUUCCCUACUCUUCCUUUUCGGUUCGGUUCGAUCAAUGACGGAUCCAAGAUGUACUGAGUUAGAUUUGAAUUGAAAUAUAUAUAUAUCGAGUAAUUAAUUUACGAAUACAUAUUUUAAGCGUAAUAUAUAAGUUAGAAUAUACAUAUUGUAGUUAGGAUUUCUAGUGGGUUUCCACCACAUGCAUGUAGAAAGUAAGCUAAUUUAAAAAAUUUCAACAUUAACAUAAUAUCAAGUAAAAUUGAUUUUCAACUUCAUUUAAUUAUUAUUACAUGGAUUAUCAUGAUGACACUUGAUUUUUAACUAUUUUCAACACACAUGUCAAAUAUUAAUCAAUUUAAAAUUUUUAAAUUAAUUAAUAUUUAAUAUGCAUAAUGAUUAAAAAUUGAGAUUUUACUAUGUUGAAUCAACCUCGAAUAACUUUUUAACGGAGGGAAACGUAUUUCCAUUUCACGGACGGCCGUGUUUCAAUUUUCCGGCGGCUUUCACGAUUGACGACGAUGACCAAUUUGACCUAUCGGAUACACCUCAACGUUCAAAUAUGAAGCAUCUGAUUGACCAGGCGAUAAACUACUACUAGUCAACUACCUAGAAACAUCUUUCUCAUCCAAUUCUCAUCUACAACAUGGCAAAUAUAUCCUUUAAUUUCAAGGUGAUAUGGAGAAAAUUGACAUCUGAGGUUAGAAAAUAACCUAAAUUAGAUGCAUCAUGAGAUUUAGUUAGAAUUUCAAAAAGUUAAUGUAAGAUACCUCUAAUUCAUGUAUAUUAAUCUUGGGCCUCGAACCGAACCCAUAAAUUUAAAAGAUCAAACACAUUUUAACGUCCAAUAAUUGAAUAAUCUCAAAUGAUUGGUCAAAUUCAAAAGAAAAUUGAAUAUUGUUCCCUCUAAACUACAUGCCUCAUGGGCACUCCAUAAAGCAUAUACUUACUACUUUUUUUCACAUGCCUUGCGAGGUAUACCCAUGAGUAGAACAAUUAGAAAACAGAAAAUAUAUCAAGCAAUUUCUAAUUAUCAGAUUGUAUAGGCCAAACAAAUGUAUCACCCAAUCCAAUCAGACUGAACUCUUUGUCCAUUUUCUAAUUAAAACUUUUGCUACAAUCUUAAUAAGUAAACACACAACCUUUUUAUUUUGACAUUAUAUACUUUUUUCGUGUUUUGACUUGUUGGCAUUCAUGAAUGCAUGCAAAUAUCAAUGCAUAGCAUUAAUGAUGUCCCUUAGGAUCUAAUUCAUCACGAUCCAACAUUCAACAACAAUCGUCCACUUACAAACAGUGAACACUUCGUAUACUAACAAGUUAAAAUGAAUAAUUAUCUUGAUAUCUCUAGACGAGUUAUUAAGAUAAGAAAAAAUAUAUUCAAAUUGAUGAUAAAAUUGGUCUUCUUUAAUGCAGAAAAAGAGUCAACCACUUUUCAUUUUGUUUAUGAUCCAAAAAUAGAAAAACCCCGCCGCGUUCCCUUAUUCGGAAUACCGCUUUUUGACUUUUUUUUACGUUUCAGGAGCCAGAGGAGAAGAGAAGCAAGCUCACCGAGUUCACCGAAUCUCUGCAACUUGCUAACUCACUAUUUGUUUAAUCAUCCCUGCAAAUGCGUUCAUCUCCAAAAACCCAAUUCAUUUCCAUCAACCUUUUUCUUACUCUCUCGCCGAAUCGACGGACUUCAUGGCCCAACUACUCCGGCUGAACUUUCCGACCAUCGUCGUCUUUACUUGCUUGCUUCUCACCACCACCACCCGUCUCUGCCUGGGAGCUGACAGGAUCUCUCAGAACGAAACGCUCACAGCAAACCAGACGCUAAUCUCCUCAAACGACAGAUUCGAAUUGGGUUUCUUCAAUCCAGGUAACUCCUCAUCUUACUACCUCGGAAUCUGGUACUAUCAGGUCUCCAUUAGGACAGUAGUGUGGGUUGCAAACAGAGAAUCCCCUGUUCCCAACAACUCCUCCGCCGAGCUCAGAAUCUCCGGCGGCGCCUUAGCUCUGUUCUUCAACCAAUCCCAGAUCUGGUCCACUCCGACGACGGUUUCUUCUUCUUCUCCGACGGAAGCUGUUCUUCUCGAAGACGGAAACUUCGUGUUAAGAAAAACAGAUUCCUCCGAAAUUGUGUGGCAGAGCUUUGAACAUCCGACGAACAUUUUCCUCCCGGAAGCCAAGCUCAGCCGCAGCAAAAUCACUGGCGAGCACACAACUGUGGUUCCCUGGAGAGGAAAUAACGAUCCCACCCCUGGGAAUUUCUCCCUGCAGUUAGACCCCAACGGUACGGAUCAGUUUGUUAUAAUCAAGGACCAAUCCUCGUUGUACUGGAACAGUGGGGUUUGGAAUGGGAGAUUCUUCACAUCAGUUCCUGAGCUGAGAACGAAUUUCUCAUACAAUUUCUUCUUCAUCGACAAUGAAAACGAAACCUACUUUACUUAUUCCUUGUACAACAAGUCAAGCAUCUUCCAUGUCGCAAUAACCGAAGGAGGUAACCUCCAGCUGCUGUCAUGGAUGGAAGCUACUCAGAGAUGGUUCUUAGCUUGGUCGAGGCCGAAAUUACAGUGUCAGGUUCAGCUGUACUGCGGUGCAUUCGGAUCGUGUGAUGACGAAUCCACCCCUACUUGUCGUUGUCUCGAAGGAUUCGUUCCAAAAUCGAGCGAAGAGUACGAUUCCAACAUAUUCUACAGCGGAUGCAUUCGAAGAUCCGAGCUUCAAUGUGGUAGGAGCAACAAUAACACUGAUAGGUUCAUCAGAGGGUAUGCGGUUAGGGAUACGGUUUCGGGAUCCCCUGCUUCGAGAUCGGCUGCGAAUGUAGAGGAAUGUCAAUCGGUCUGCGAGGAUACGUGUUCAUGUAACGCGUAUGCUUUCGAAAACGGGAGGUGCUCGGUUUGGAAUGGUGAGGUGUAUGACAUGUUUCGGCUUGGUAAUGGUUCGUCUGGUGGUGUGCCGAUUUUCGUUAGGGUUGCUGCUGAGGUAGCGAGUGGUGGUUCGGGUUCGAAGAAGGGUGUUGUUCUUGGUGCUGUGCUUGGAUGUCUGGUGGCAGCUGCGAUUGUCGGGUUUGUAAUGUUCGUAGCCUUCAGGCGGUAUCAGAGGAGAAAGAUGGAUCGAAAUAUCGAGGAGAAUUUCAACAUUGCGAAUGGUGACGAGGAUGACAACACAAAGCUGACGUUCUUCAGCUUUAAGAACGUUUUAGCCGCCACUGAUAACUUCUCCGAAGCGAACAAGCUUGGAGAAGGCGGUUUCGGUCCUGUCUAUAAGGUAAAACUUCUUCUGCUUUAACAUUCUUUGCUGUAGUUCUGUUUCAGGAAUGGUCUGUUUCAUUUGGAGACACAUUGUGUAUCAGGGAGUUCUACUGCAUGAUCAAGAAGUGGCAAUAAAACGGCUUUCGAAGAAAUCAGGGCAAGGGUUAGAGGAGUUCAUGAACGAGCUGAGACUCAUUGCGAAGCUGCAGCACACUUACCUAGUCAGGCUGUUGGGAUGCUGCGUCGAGAGGGAGGAGAAGAUACUGAUCUACGAGUAUUUACCGAAUCGGAGCCUGGAUAAGUUCCUCUUCGACCCGGCUGCAAAAACCGAUUUGGAUUGGCUGAUGCGGAUCAAGAUCAUCGAAGGGAUAGCUCAGGGACUUCUGUACAUCCACAAGUACUCGAGAUUGAAGGUCAUCCACAGAGACCUGAAGGCCAGCAAUGUUCUUCUGGAUGCUGAUAUGAACCCCAAGAUCUCGGAUUUUGGAAUGGCCAGGAUCUUCGGGAUCGAUCAAGCUGAAGCUAAUACCGUCCGCAUCGUUGGAACAUAGUAUGUGUGCUAUUGUGCUAUACUUACAUCAAUCUUAUCGAUUUUUUUUUUCCUCUGACAUGACCAUUUGUGAUGGUGCCAGUGGAUACAUGUCACCAGAAUACGCAAUCUACGGGUCAUUCUCGGAGAAGUCAGAUGUGUUCAGCUAUGGCGUACUACUUUUAGAGAUCGUUAGCGGGAGGAGGAACACCGAUUUCUACGAUCGCGAAACUCCGUUCUCCCUUCUUUGCUGGGUGAGUUUCAUAAUGUUAGAUUGUAAUUUGGUCAAUGGUCUUGGUCUGACACAGUGUUUUGGUUUUGAAGGCAUGGGAGCUAUGGAAAGAAGGGAAACCGGAAGAGCUGAUCGAUCCGGCGGUGAAGGACGCCAACAUCAAUGCUCCGCAAGCUGUGAAGUUCGUUCAUGUCGGUCUGCUGUGCGUGCAACAGGAUCCAGCUGACAGGCCGACCAUGUCAUUAGUAACUCAGAUGCUGUCGAGCAAUUACUCGCAGUCGUUUCCGUUGCCUGGAGAACCGGCCUUCAACAUCGGGAGAGCUGCUGUCGGAGGAAGUAGUAGCGUUGGAUCGGUUCCUACCGAUAUUUCGAAUAACCAGAUCACGAUUACCAUGCCGGUUGGUAGAUAGUAGCUGCUACUUUUGUGUAUGGGAAGAACUAUACCAUCCAUUACCAUGUAUGACUUUCCAGUUAUGAAUGCAGAAAUUGAAUAAAUACCAAAUCUACAGUGCCACAUGUCAUGCCACUAUUGGUUAGUUCGGGCAAAAACAUUCGAAUGUUGAACACUUCUACAAGUCAGCAGUCAUGUCGGCGGCGGUUACGAAUCCAUAACCCCAAUUUCACUGCAAUAGAAAAGAACAGAAUUACUAUUGAUGGAAUGAAAUAAGUCUGAGAUGAAAGUUCAGUCAGAGGUUUGACCUAAAAUGCUGACUAUCGUUGUCUGAAUAUAAUAUAUAUUAACUAAUGAACUUCAUACUCUUAACCAUACAAAUCCUUCAAUCAUCAUCUGUUCUUCAGCUUUCAUGGCGGCUAAUCCAUGGCUAAAAUUUCCAGCCAUAAUCACCAUUUUCUUCAUUUCCUUUUCUCUGAAAGCACAUUUCUGUCAUGGAGCUGACAGGAUUACUCAGAACCAAUCUCUGUCUGCACACCAAACCCUGAUCUCAUCAGGGAGCAGAUUCGAGCUCGGUUUCUUCAAGCCCGGGAACUCAUCAAACUACUACCUCGGAAUCUGGUUCCACAAAGUGAGUAGAGCAGUGUGGGUAGCCAACAGAGAAUCGCCGAUUUUCAACCCUUCGUCUACUGUGUUAAGAUUCUCGGACGGGAAUCUAGCUCUGUUCAGCAAUGAGUCCGGCCAAGUUCCCAUUUGGUCUACCAAUUCUUCGACCCCUUGUACGGAGGCUGUUCUUCAGGACAAUGGGAAUCUCGUGUUGAAGGGGGGAUCAUCUGAUGAUGAGAUCCUGUGGCAGAGCUUUGAACACCCGAGUGAUACGUUGCUUCCUGGUGCGAAGCUCGGGCACAACAAAAUCACGGGGAGGUACAUUACUAUGGUUCCUUGGAAGAGUGAGGACGAUCCAGCUCCAGGGGAUUUCACCGUGCAGCUGGAUCCGAACGGGACGAAUCAGCUCGUUGUUAUCACGAACAAGUCCACCUUGCACUGGACUAGUGGGCUUUGGAACGGGCGUUUCUUCAGCUCGGUUCCUGAGAUGAUGUGGAAGAACAUUUAUGACUUUGUCUACAUUGAUAACGAGAACGAGGCCUACUACGCAUAUUCCGUGCUCAACAAGUCACUCAUCUUUCGCAAGUCGGUGAGUAAAGAUGGGAACUUUCAAGUAUUGCUAUGGAAUCAGAACUGGAAUCUGAUCUGGUCACAACCCAGGUCGCAGUGCGAAGUCCGACAAUACUGUGGUGCUUUCGGGUCUUGCCACGACGGAUCCUCUCCUUCCUGUUAUUGCGUUGAAGGGUUUGUUCCAAAGUCCGCAGAUGAAUACAGCUCGAACGUGUUCUACAACGGCUGCAUCAGAAAAUCUGAUGUUCAAUGUGGGGAUUCGAGAAACGGGACAAUCAAGAAGCUGCCUCUUAAAGAUAAGUUCCUUCAGGGCUAUGCAGUAAGUGAUAACACGUCAGGAUCUCCAGCCUAUAGAUCGCUUAGGAAUGUUCAAGAGUGUGAAUCCACUUGCCUCGACAGUUGCUCCUGCUGUGCAUAUGCUUACCAAGACGAUACAUGCUCGAUUUGGUCGCAAGAAGUUUACGAUAUCCAUAGCCUUGCUGAUGACCCUACCGGAGUACCAAUUUAUGUAAGAGUUGGUACUAGUACUGAACUCCCAAGUUCGGGUACUAAGAGAGUGGUUCUUGGUGCUGUGUUUGGCUCGAUAGCCGCGGUUGUUCUCAUCGGCUUUCUAUCGAUUGCAGUAUCGAGAUGGUACCACAGGCACAAGCUAGGUCAACACUCUUCCAUAAAUGUUUGGUGUAGUUCUCCAUGCUGAUUUGAUCUGACAUCAUCACUAAAAUUAUCAGGAAAUAAUGAUGAGAACAGCUACUUCAACGGGGAAGGAGGCGAAGAAAACAAUACGAAGCUGACAUUCUUCAGCAUCAAGACUGUAUUAGCUGCAACAGACAACUUUUCUGAAGCUAACAAAUUAGGAGAGGGCGGUUUCGGCCCAGUCUAUAAAGUAGGUUUCAGCUCUGAACUCAUUUUCUUUGCUGUUCGUUUCUACACUAAAAUUUAUUCUUUCAGGGAGUUUUGGUUCCUGAUGAUCAAGAAGUGGCUGUAAAAAGGCUUUCGAAGAAAUCGGGACAGGGGCUAGAGGAAUUCAUGAAUGAGCUGAAGCUCAUUGCAAAACUCCAACACACUUACCUUGUUAGGCUGUUAGGCUGCUGUGUUGAAAAGGACGAGAAGAUACUGAUCUACGAAUACUUGCCGAAUCGAAGCUUGGACAAAUUCCUAUUUGAUUCACCUGCAAAAGCAGAUUUGGAUUGGCUUACGCGAAUUAAAAUUAUAGAUGGCAUAGCUCAAGGGCUGCUGUACAUCCAUAAGUACUCGAGACUAAAGGUUAUUCACAGGGACAUGAAGGCAAGCAAUGUUCUGCUGGAUGCUGAAAUGAAUCCCAAAAUUUCGGAUUUCGGAAUGGCAAGGAUUUUCAGGAUUGGCCAAGCAGAAGCUAAAACCAAUCGAAUAGUUGGAACAUAGUAUGUUUGUAACCAUAUUUGUUUGUUAAUCUUUAACCUGCAAAACCCUUGGAUCACUGAUCACUACAAUGGUGCAGUGGCUACAUGUCCCCAGAAUAUGCAAUCUACGGGAAGUUCUCGGAGAAAUCAGAUGUGUUCAGCUACGGGGUGUUGCUGUUGGAGAUUGUGAGCGGAAGGAGGAACAAAGAUUUCAAUCAAUCCGAAAUUCCAUCCUCCCUUCUUUCUUGGGUGAGUCAAUGCUUUCCAUCCCUUUUACUUUCCUAGUCAAUUCUCUUUGUGUUCACUUGCUCAUCGUCGGAAUUAGUUGAAUGAAGAAGACAUGGGAGCUAUGGCAAGAAGGAAAACCAGAAGAGCUAAUCGAUCCAUCAGUGAAGGAUACUACCUGCAGUGAUACUGCAGAAGCGGUGAAGUUCAUCCACAUUGCCCUUCUAUGCGUGCAAGAAGCUCCAUCUAACAGGCCAACUAUGGCUUCAGUAGCUCAGAUGUUAUCAAGCAAUUAUCCAGAGUCAUUUCCAUUGCCAAAAGAACCGGCCUUUACGACGACGAGAGCUGUUCUUCCUAAUAAUUGUUCAAACAAUCAGAUGUCAAUGACCUUAUCAGUUGGUAGAUAGCAUGAGGAAAACUACAUAAUUUGUAGCUGACAUAUCAGCUAAUUAGCAUGUUUUUCUGCAGAGUAUAAAUAACGAUAUAACGAUAAAUUAACUUCUGAUACUAACAGUACAAACAUGUAGUGCUGAAAGAGCUGAUGAUAUCAUUCACUCCUUGUAAAAUCAUCUGGGUUCAUGUUAAGAAGUUCGAUCAUUGGAGCACGAGGCAAUGCCGGUCUGAGAAUAGGAGCUAUCCCAAUUCCUGCCAUCAAAAUCCUUGAUCUCGACAUGGGCGAGAGUUCCAGGAUCCACACACUUGUAGGUAACCGCAACGCCAUCCGGGUUCGAUCUCGGAAUGUAGAACGAAGUGAUCCCACAGACCUUGCAGAAGGUGUGUUUAGCAGUGUGAGUGCCAAAGGUAUAGGUAGUAACGUAACUUUGCGAAUCACCCAGAAGCUCGAAACUGUGGGAAGGAACAAUGAAAUGAACAUUCCCUCUCAUGGAACAGUCGGAACAGUUGCAUUUCCAAGCUACGACGUUCCUUGGCGCUCGAACUCGCCAUCUUAUCUUCCCGCAAUGGCAUCCACCGCUGUGAUUCACCAAUUCUUCACCCUCCAUUGCUCCCUGAUACAAAAGCGUCAGUCAACAAGGAAUGAAAGUCAACCGAGCUGGAUUUUGGGUGAAGUUUACCGGAGUUUCUUUGUGGAUGGAAGCAGGCGGUUCCGUCGUCGCAAAAGAUUCAGAGGAUCGGAGGGAAAGAUGGAGAGCAAUCCAGCUGAAAGGGGAUUAGGGAUUUUGACUAUUGAUUCUUUUUGUCUUCUUCUGCGAGUUCUUUAAAGCUAAAUAAAAUAAUCAUUUCCCUAAAGAAAUGAACCGUUUGUUUGGUUCAUUGCUGAAGCUCUGCGUAGUCAAAAUACGCGGUUCCUCAAGUCAACCCUCUGAAACUGAUAAGAAAUUUCGAAACACUGAUGAUGGAGGCAUUAAUCCAAAAAGAACAAAACUUUAUUAUACCCUUUUCCAUUUCUUGAUUUCCUGACUGCAAAUUGGAAGCACUACUUUCCAUGCUGUAUCUUCUGAUUCUUCUGUGUUUACUCUGCCUCAACAAGCUUGACCCUUGCCAUGGAAUCGAUAGGAUCACUGCAAAUCAAUCACUCACCGGCGACGAGACUCUCGUCUCCGCCGGAGGGAUCUUCGAAUUGGGGUUCUUCAAGCCAGGGAAAUCAGAAGAGUACUACUACAUCGGAGUAUGGUACAAACAAGUAUCUCCACGGACGGUGAUUUGGGUUUGGAACAGAUACCGUCCAGUUUCCAACAGGUUCAAUUCCGAGCUCAAGAUUUCCGACGACGGGAGGCUAGUUCUCGUCGAAGGCGGGUCAACUUUAGUUCGGUCAACCUACAUUCGGUCAACGUCGUCCUCAUUCAACGCAGUUCUCCUCGACCAGGGAAACCUCGUCGUCAUACCAACUAAUGGCUCCUCGUCUUCUCCAAUCUGGCAGAGCUUCGAUCAACCUAGCGAUACCUUGGUUCCCGGUAGGAAGAUUGGAUUCAACAAGAUUACUGAUGACGAAGUAGUUCUCACUUCCUGGAGGAACAGAGCAAAUCCUACUGCUGGUCCAUUCACUCUCAAGCUGGGUUCAAAUCGAUCGCUUGAAUGGAACAUGGAGAGAAAUUUCUUGCUGGGUGAAAGACGGAUUAUAGAAUUGAAUUCCAUGAACAACUUUGUUUACGUGGAUGAUCGGAAUGGAAGCUACGUCACUCUUUCUGAUCAUCGACGUAACGGUUCCCUGUUUUCUCGGUACGUUUUAGAUGUAGGAGGGCAAAUUCAGCUUCUAUUAUGGCUGGAAUCCACCCAGCAGUGGGUGUCAAUCUGGCAAAAUCCUACAUCUAAAUGUGAAAUGAGUAGCUACUGUGGUGCUUAUGGGAGUUGUGAGGAGAAAUCCAGUCCAAUUUGUCAUUGUUUGGAUGGGUUUGUUCCACAAUCUCUGGUUGAUUAUAGCUCUGAGGCCUUCUACGAUGGCUGCUUAAGGAGAUACCCUCUUCAGUGCCAGAAACCUGACUGGUUUUUGCCACAUUACAAUGUGGGGUUGCCUAGCACUCCAUUGAUGAUAUCAUCAGCUACAAGUUCAGAUGAUUGCGAGGCGAAAUGUCUGAUAUCUUGCAGCUGCAGUGCUUAUUCCUACAGUGGAAACCAAUGCUCCCAUUGGGAUGAUUUAUUGUUUAAUCUGCAGCAACUGGAUGUCCCAAAUGGGAAAACCAUCUUCAUCAAACUUGCAGCUAACGAAUCCUCAUUUCUUGACAACGACAUUUAUCGAAGAAAGAACAACAAGAUCAGGAUCGUGAUUGGAUCUGUGGCAGGUUCAAUGUUGCUGCUAGUUCUUGUUGCAUUGACAAUCCUGAGAUGGAGGAGGGAUAAGAUGCCUGGGAAAUUAAUGGAAGGGUUUUUGGUGGCUUUUACACACAGACAUUUGAAGAUUGCCACCAAGAAUUUCUCACACAAGUUGGGGGAAGGAGGGUUUGGUUCUGUCUACAAAGGAACACUCCCCGAUUCGAGCAUUAUAGCCGUGAAAAAGCUGCAGAGCAUCAAUUCCAGGCAAGCUGAAAAUCGCAAGCAAUUCCUUGCAGAAGUCAGGACUCUCGGCGCAAUCCAACACGUUAAUCUGGUUGGCCUUAGAGGGUUUUCAUCUGAUAACAAUACUAUGAUGUUGGUCUAUGAUUACAUGCCAAACGGUUCGGUAUCGUCCCAUUUGUUCGAUCCUUCAAAGAUCCUCGCUUGGAACAUGCGGUACAACAUUGCAUUGGGAACAGCGAGAGGUUUAGCUUAUAUACACGAAAAAUGCAGAGAAUGUAUAAUCCACUGCGACAUUAAACCGGACAAUGUGCUAUUGGAUUCUGAGUUUCAACCCAAAGUCGCAGACUUUGGCCUGGCAAAGCUCUUUGGGAGAGAUUUCAGCCGGGUGCUAACCACCUUGAGGGGAACUAUCGGGUACAUGCCGCCUGAGUGGAUUUCGGGUGAGGCGAUUACUGCAAAAGCUGACGUUUACAGCUACGGGAUGGUGCUGUUGGAGCUGGUGUCCGGAAUGAGAAACUCGCAACGACAUGUUUGUGUCGGUCAUUACUUUCCGGUUUGGGUAGCGGAUGUUUUAAGCGAAGGUGGCGAUCUGGCUGAGGUGCUGGAUCCAAGGUUAGAAGGGAAUGCUGAUGGUGAAGAGUUGGAAAGAGUCUGUAGAGUUGCUGUUUGGUGCAUUCAGGAUGAUGAAAGUCAACGUCCGAGUAUGAGUCAGGUAGUGUACAUUCUUGAGCAGGUUUUGGAAGUGGGAAUUCCUCCUGUUCCGAGUAUUCUUCAGAGAUAUGUUAAUCCUGAUGACUGACUAGAGUUUCAGGUUGCUAUUGAUAUGAUCAUAAACUGAAAUCCAAGUUGUAAUAUACGAGCUUUGAAAUGAUUCCCAUUAGUGCAACUAAAUACCAAACAAGAACACAAUCCAAAAAAGUAAAUGAAAAUGGGAAGAAAAGAAAACAUAAAACGUUUCCGCCAUGGAUGAUAUGAUCAUAAACUGAUAUUCCAGUAGAAUCGUUGGAUGGUGUUUGUAGCAAAUACUUCAAAAUCAUGGGGCAGUUUAGCACCCGAUUGAAAAUGGUGAUUUUACCAGAAAGUUCCAGAAAAAGACCCGAGACUGACCCGUUGUCUACACCUACAGCUCAUACAAGAGUUCGGCAGGGAAAUAUCAGCACGAUUGACGAUUCUAUCCUUGACUAAUCCUCCAUGUAAUAUUAUUUCCAGGUCCAUGAAGUCUUCUACCAGCAAUGUUGACUUGACGUGUUCAUUUUCAUUUGCAAUAUGAAAUUUGAUGCUGUAACUUGGCAAGUCAUUCCUUCUCUGCCAUGGCUUCUCAUCUCUGGCUCAACUUGCCGGCCAUCAUUUUCAUUUGCUUAUCUCUCAAACCCCAUUUCUGUCUAGGAGCUGACAGGAUAGCUCAGAACCAAUCUCUGUCUGGAGACCAAACCUUGGUCUCAGCAGGAAGCAAAUUUGAACUGGGUUUCUUCAAGCCAGGUACCUCAUCAAACUAUUACCUUGGAAUUUGGUAUUAUCAAGUCCCUAGCAGAACAGUAGUUUGGGUUGCAAAUAGAGAAUCCCCCAUUUUCAACCAUUCCUCUACUGAAUUGAGAAUCUCCGGCGGUAGUUUAUUCCUGUUGAGCAGGUUCAAGGUCCCAAUUUGGUCCACAGCUGCUUCCCUUUCAUCUGCUUCAGUGGAAGCUGUACUUCUCGACGAUGGGAAUCUUGUGUUGAGAAGUGUGGUUUCUUCUUCUGAAAUUUUGUGGCAGAGCUUUGAUUACCAAACUGAUACAUUUCUUCCUGGUGCCAAGCUUGGGCGCAACAAGAUCACGGGUAAGUACACAACUCUGGUUUCGUCGAAGAGCAUUGACAAUCCUGCACCUGGAAGAUUCUCGCUGCAGAUUGACCCAAAUGGUACUAACUCGUUUGCAAUUUUAAGGCAAACGUCUUCCUUGUAUUGGACUAGUGGGCCUUGGAAUGGCAUUAUCUUCAGCUUAGUUCCUGAUCCGAUGAGAUUGAAUUUCAUUUUCAAUUUUUCAUUUGUUGACAAUGAGAACGAGACCUAUUUCACUUAUUCGUUGUACAAUCAGUCCAUGAUAGCUCGUCUGGUGAUGAGUGAUGGAGGUAACAUCCAAGCACUGAUAUUGUUGGAGAUCGGUCAUCAGUGGUCUUUGUUCUGGUCACAGCCCCGAAUGCAAUGUGACGUUGAAGGCUACUGUGGUGCAGUCGGGUCUUGUGAUGAUCGAUCCCAGCCUUUCUGCCAUUGCCUGGAAGGAUUUGUUCCAAAUUCUACGGAUGAAUACAGUUCAAAUGUGUUUCGUGGCGGUUGCAUCAGGAAAUCUAAUAUUCACUGCGGGAAUGCGAGUAUUGGGAUGAGUACUGAUGAGUUCCUUCCAGGGUAUGUAGUAAAGGACAGAAGCUCAGAUUCUCGAGCCAAUAAUUCAGCUAGGAAUGCUCAAGAAUGUGAAUCGAUUUGUUUGAGCCGUUGCUCCUGUACUGCAUAUGCUUAUGAAGGCGGUAGAUGCUCAACUUGGUAUGGAGAUGUAUUUGAUAUUUAUAAACUUGAUUAUAUCUCUGCUGGACGACAAAUUUAUGUAAGAGUUGCUGCUGAAAUUCAAAAUUCCGGAACUGCUGAAAUUCAAAAUUCCGGAACCAAGAGAAAGGUUAUUGCUGCUGUGUUUGGCUGUUCAGCUGCGGUUGUUCUUAUCGCCCUUUUACUGUUUGCGGUAUCGAGGUACCGUCGGCACAAGCUAGGUAACACUCCUGAAUCAAACGAUAAUACAUUGACUGCUUUGGAACAUUCAUACUCUUAUGAUCUAACAUAUCACUGAACAUUUACAGGAAAAGACAUUGCGGAGAGCUACAAUAUUGUGAAUGGAGAUGAAGACAACAAUACAAAGUUGACGUUUCUCAGCAUUAAGAGUGUAUUAGCUGCAACAAACAACUUUUCUGAAGCUAACAAACUAGGAGAAGGCUGGUUCGGGCCUGUUUAUAAAGUGAGGUUUCUGCAUUCCUUUCUUUGCUUUAGUAAUUGUCACAAAGAGUAAAUUAGUUGUUCAUUCGGGUGACUUUCUUUCAGGGAGUUCUGCUUCCCGGUGAUCAAGAAGUAGCCGUGAAAAGGCUUUCGAAGAAAUCGGGACAAGGGUUAGAGGAAUUCAUGAAUGAGCUGAAGCUCAUAGCAAAGCUCCAACACACUUAUCUUGUUAGGCUGUUAGGUUGCUGUGUUGAAAAGGAUGAGAAGAUACUUAUCUACGAGUACCUGCCUAAUCGAAGCUUGGACAAAUUCCUCUUUUAUUCGUACGGGAAAGCUAAGUUGGAUUGGCUGACGAGAAUUAAGAUUAUAGAAGGAAUAGCUCAAGGACUGUUGUACAUCCACAAGUACUCAAGAUUGAAGGUCAUUCACAGGGACAUCAAGGCAAGCAAUGUGCUGCUGGAUGCUGAAAUGAACCCCAAAAUUUCGGAUUUCGGAAUGGCGAGGAUUUUCGGGAUUGGUCAGGCAGAAGCCAACACCAACCGUAUAGUGGGAACAUAGUCUGUACUACUUCAACGAUCUCUUCUUGUUUAUUUACUAUCAUGGAUUUGACACUAUCAUUGUGAUGGUGCAGUGGCUACAUGUCUCCAGAAUACGCGUUCUACGGGCAGUUCUCCGAGAAAUCAGACGUAUUCAGCUACGGGGUGCUGCUGUUGGAGAUUGUGAGCGGGAGGAGGAACACAGAUUUCUACGAUUCCGAAACACCGUUAUCCCUUCUUUGCUGGGUGAGUUAACGUCGUAAUCCCUUUAUAAUUCGGUCUUAAUUAAUUUCACUUGCUGAAAUGUGUGGUUGAUUGAAGGCAUGGGAGCUAUGGAAAGAAGGUAAACCAGAAGAUCUACUUGAUCCAGCCUUGAAGAAUACCUGCAUUAAUGCUCCAGAAUCCGCGAAGUUCGUCCACGUUGGUCUGCUGUGCGUGCAAGAGGAUCCAGCUGACAGGCCGACAAUGGCUUAUGUAGCUCAUAUGUUGUCAAGCAACGAUUCUCAGUCGUUUCCAUUGCCAGGCGAACCGGCCUACAUCACAAGGAGAGCUGUUGUUGGAAAUGGUGAGCAAGUUCCCGCCGUUUUUUCAAACAACCAAUUGACACUGAGCUUGCCAACUGGUAGAUAGAUCAUAGAUCUCCCCUACUGGUCAAGAGGAGGAGCUUCAUUUUCAAAAUGAACUAGUUAAUCUAUUGUAGCCAAUUAGGGGAUGUAGCUCAGAUGGUAGAGCGCUCGCUUAGCAUGCGAGAGGUACGGGGAUCGAUACCCCGCAUCUCCAAUUUUUUCUCACCUCAUGUAAUAUUUACAAUCUCAGAACAGUAUUAGUACAGCAGAGUCCACAGAAUGAUAAAUGCAGCAAAUCUCAGUCUGGAAACCCUCUGAUGAACCACUGCUGUAAAGUAUGUGGGAAAACAACAGCAGCAAGACAUACAUUCAAUAUAUAAGACAGAUGGUGGGUUUUCAUUCACUUUUGUUUUCAUGCACUCAGCAGUUGCUGGUUUCUGAGUCCUCAAUGUUGCAUUGAUCUGUCAUCCCCUAAUGCAAUCAUUAACCUAUUCAAAAGGGAGAGGUGGUGAUGAUGGGAUGGAUGAUGGAUUGUGCCACCAAAUGCGCCAAAAGAAGUGAACAGUCAUUAUGAUCAUUAAUUCGUUGCUAGAAAAAUGAUAGCUAUAAUCAUAAUUUUCCACCAACUUUUUUCAUCACACAAAUCAAUACCAAAACCAUGCUUAGAAUGCGUCUAGCAUGCUGUUUAUGUACUCGAAUUAUCAACCCUGAUCUUUCUCCAGUAGACAGGGUUUCGUUUAAGAAUGUUUGAUUUGUCAAGAAUCGUUGCAUUUUAAUAAUUUAAAUCGUUGAGAAAGGGUUAAUAAUAAAUAUUAUAUUAUUCUUUAACAUAAUUUGUUGUCUCUUUAUAGUCUAUACUUGUUUUUGUAUCACGAAAAGUGCAAAUUCAAAAUUUAUAUGUUUUUCAUACGCUAUAAAUACUCUCUAACUCUUAACUAGGAAAUACUUCUAAUGGAACAGAAUGUUAUAUAUACAUGACUACAUAGGCCACUCUNNNNNNNNNNNNNNNNNNNNNNNNNNNNNNNNNNNNNNNNNNNNNNNNNNNNNNNNNNNNNNNNNNNNNNNNNNNNNNNNNNNNNNNNNNNNNNNNNNNNAGUUGGGUUGGGAGGUGCCAAUUAGCAUUGCUUUCCCCCUUUGGCUUCCAUUUUGUUUUUCUCCCUAUAUACUACUAGAAGUACAUGCAUGAAACCCUAGUUUUUCAUCCUUUCUGUGCAACAAAAUUUGUUGUUUUCUCCUUUCCAUUAUAUCCCAAGUAAUGAUAAGCAAUUGUUGCCACCUAACAUUGCUAUAAAGCCAUGCAUGGCCAAUUAAGAAAUGCAACCAAAAAGGACCAACAAAAGAAGAGAAUCUUAUAAUCAUUUUCCAUUCCACCUAGCCUUCAUUCACAAUUCAUCAAUUUUCAGAAACAUUAAUUAUAUAAUAACGUUAUUAAUAAAUCAACGAUAAAUUAAAAAUUGGGAAAUUAUAUAUAUUUGAGGAUAUUUCGUAUCCAAUAUUAAUAAAAUAAUAAUUAAAUAAUUUUUUUCUACCUAAAUAAAUGAACUCAAUUUUUUAUGCUUUUGAUAUCUAACCCAUAAAUCUGAUUAACAACAACGAAUAAAAAAUAAAAAAGGGGGAAAAGAACCCAACACUCUUCACCAAUGUUUAGUGCCAAAGUGGAUUCCAUUUGGGACUUAGAAUUCAACACCCAACAAAAAUGAACAAAUUAAUUAAUUAUGCUUUCAAAGAUUGUGUGCUCUUAUCUAAUACACUAGAAUCUCAACUUUGGGUGACAGAUGUUUCCAAUUCAGUGGUCAAUGCCUGGUCUUUGUUACCAACUCAUAGCCAUCUUCUGUUUGAUAUUUUUGCUAACUUUUCAUUCGAGAGGUCGUUUACGAUGUUGUUAUCUCUUUAUCGUUUAUGUAUAAUUAUACGACGAGUAAUGUUAGAAAUGUUCUCUAUUGUUCAUCUUUAAUUGUUGAUGAUAUUGUUGACAGAAGUAUGCAUGGAAUACUUAUUGUUUUGGACACAUGAUGGGGUUAUAGUGAAAUGGCUCGAAGGAUCAAAUUAAUGGAUCGCGAAUGAGAAAAGCCUAACAAAUUCAAAAAGAUGUAUCACUCGCAUAGUUGAAUGUGCCAACAGAGAAUCAGGGUAACGCCCCGCUUGCUAAGGAGGUGAAACUCGCAUUAAAUGCUAAUAAGACGAGUCCCUGAGCAACUACCCAUCGAUUUUAUAUAGCUAAGAAGUUCGUGAUAUGUGACAACCUCGACUCUUUCGAGAAACUCAAAAUACACCGUACAUCCUUGGCGUUCAAUAUUAGUGUUUUGGAUGCUUUCUCAUUCACUUAUGUAGUUUGUAACAACUAACAAUGUAUAGUACAAUUCCAUGGAAACUAAUCCACGAUGGUUGAUUUCUUUCUUUCCUUUCUGUACUUCUUUCCGACAAUAACCAGAAGAAGAAGAAGAAACAAAUAAAAGAAACGUAAGCUAAGAACAGAGUAAAACCAGAGCAACAACAGAGUAGAGCAAAAAGAUCCAGUCUUUCGUCACAAAAAGAUUUCAAUAUACGAUCUCACACGAAACCCAGAAAAUUUCUGCUCAAUUAAACCUCCGGCGCCUGAUCCCGGCUGUCCCUUUCAGGUGGAGAAUCUCCGGUGGCUCCUUUUCAACAUCCCUUCCAUUACCACCCUCUGUUUUCUGUACUCCCUCGUCGCCGCCGCUGUCCUGUCCUUCUCCGUGGACUUCCUCGAUUCCACCGCCGGAGACUCCCGAAUGUGUCGGUGCCGCCGUCGAGGGAGGGAAUAUAGGCAGAUCAAAGUCAACGCCACUGCCCAGAAUUUCCCACCUAACACUGUCACUCCCAGACUCACCAGCAGCAGACAAAAAACCGCCN
rnacentral:lncRNA from 1 species